rnacentral:rRNA from 1 species
GGGGGGGGGGGGGGGGGGGGGGGGGGGGGGGGGGGCGGAGGGGAGGAGGGGUGCUGGCGCCGGGUGGCGGGUGGCGGACGGGGGGGUAGUACGGCGGAAGAUGUCCUGGAGUGGGGGAUAGCCCGGCGAAAGCCGGAUGAAUACCGCAGACGAUCUACGGAUGGAAGGGGGGGGCCGUCGGGGCUCGCGCUAGAGGGUUGGGCGAUGGCUGAUUAGCUAGUUGGUGGGGUAAAGGCCUACCAAGGCGACGAUCAGUAGCUGGUCUGAGAGGACGACCAGCCACACUGGGACUGAGACACGGCCCAGACUCCUACGGGAGGCAGCAGUGGGGAAUUUUGGACAAUGGGCGAAAGCCUGAUCCAGCAAUGCCGCGUGUGUGAAGAAGGCCUUCGGGUUGUAAAGCACUUUUGUCCGGAAAGAAAUCCUUGGCCCUAAUACGGUCGGGGGAUGACGGUACCGGAAGAAUAAGCACCAGCUAACUACGUG